AACGAACGCUGGCGGCAGGCCUAACACAUGCAAGUCGAACGACACCACAGGAACAGGUGGCUCUUGGGGGCGUCACGGGGGGGACGGUGCAGUAAGACACGGAAUACUACUUUUUCAGGGGGGCUAACACAGGAAAAUUUCCUCUAACACCAGAUACACCCUCCGGGGGAAGGCAGGGGUUCUUCGAGCUUGUCGGUAUGGAAGAAGCCUAUGUCGGAUAAGCUAGUUGGCGGGUUAAAGGCCCACCAAGGCGACAAUCGGUAGCUGGUCUGAGAGGAUGAUCAGCCAGACUGGCAGUGAGACACGGUCCAGACUCCUACGGGAGGCAGCAGUGGGGAAUAUUGGACAAUGGGGGAAAGCCUGAUCCAGCCAUACCGCGUGGGUGAAGAAGGCGUUCGGGUUGUAAAGCCCUUUUGUUGGGAAAGAAAAGCAGCAGGUUAAUACCCCGCUGUUCUGACGGUACCCAAAGAAUAAGCACCGGCUAACUUCGUG
rnacentral:rRNA from 1 species